GACGAACGCUGGCGGCGUGCUUAACACAUGCAAGUCGAACGGAAAGGCCCUGCUUUUGUGGGGUGCUCGAGUGGCGAACGGGUGAGUAACACGUGAGUAACCUGCCCUUGACUUUGGGAUAACUUCAGGAAACUGGGGCUAAUACCGGAUAGGAGCUCCUGCUGCAUGGUGGGGGUUGGAAAGUUUCGGCGGUUGGGGAUGGACUCGCGGCUUAUCAGCUUGUUGGUGGGGUAGUGGCUUACCAAGGCUUUGACGGGUAGCCGGCCUGAGAGGGUGACCGGCCACAUUGGGACUUGAGAUACGGCCCAGACUCCUACGGGAGGCAGCAGUGGGGAAUAUUGCACAAUGGGCGGAAGCCUGAUGCAGCAACGCCGCGUGCGGGAUGACGGCCUUCGGGUUGUAAACCGCUUUCGCCUGUGACGAAGCGUGAGUGACGGUAAUGGGUAAAGAAGCACCGGCUAACUACGUG
rnacentral:rRNA from 1 species